AAAUUACCCACUCCCGGCACGGGGAGGUAGUGACGAAAAAUAACGAUACGGGACUCAUCCGAGGCCCCGUAAUCGGAAUGAGUACACUCUAAACACGUUCCCGAAAAUCAAUUGGAGGGUAAGUCUGGUGCCAGCAGCCGCGGUAAUUCCAGCUCCAAUAGCGUAUAUUAAAGUUGUUGCGGUUAAAAAGCUCGUAGUCGAAUCUGUGUCCCGCGCCGCCGGUUCAUCGCUCGCGGUGUUCAACUGGCGUGUCUCGCGGGACGUCCUGCCGGUGGGAUCACGUAUCGUUUCGGCGGUGCGUCUCCCAACUCGUCUCCGCCUUGCGCGGUUGCGAAUCCCAUCGCGGUGCUCUUUAUUGAGUGUCGAGGUGGGCCGGCACGUUUACUUUGAACAAAUUAGAGUGCUUAAAGCAGGCCAGUUUUGCCUGAAUAUUCUGUGCAUGGAAUAAUGGAAUAGGACCUCGGUUCUAUUUUGUUGGUUUUCGGAACCCCGAGGUAAUGAUUAAUAGAAACGGAUGGGGGCAUUCGUAUUGCGACGUUAGAGGUGAAAUUCUUGGAUCGUCGCAAGACGGACAGAAGCGAAAGCAUUUGCCAAAAACGCUUUCAUUGAUCAAGAACGAAAGUUAGAGGUUCGAAGGCGAUCAGAUACCGCCCUAGUUCUAACCAUAAACGAUGCCAGCUAGCGAUCCGCCGACGUUCCUCCGAUGACUCGGCGGGCAGCUUCCGGGAAACCAAAGCUUUUGGGUUCCGGGGGAAGUAUGGUUGCAAAGCUGAAACUUAAAGGAAUUGACGGAAGGGCACCACCAGGAGUGGAGCCUGCGGCUUAAUUUGACUCAACACGGGUAACCUCACCAGGUCCAGACACCGGAAGGAUUGACAGAUUGAGAGCUCUUUCUUGAUUCGGUGGGUGGUGGUGCAUGGCCGUU
rnacentral:rRNA from 1 species